AUUGAACGCUGGCGGCAGGCCUAACACAUGCAAGUCGAGCGGAUGAAGGGAGCUUGCUCCUGGAUUCAGCGGCGGACGGGUGAGUAAUGCCUAGGAAUCUGCCUGGUAGUGGGGGAUAACGUCCGGAAACGGGCGCUAAUACCGCAUACGUCCUGAGGGAGAAAGUGGGGGAUCUUCGGACCUCACGCUAUCAGAUGAGCCUAGGUCGGAUUAGCUAGUUGGUGGGGUAAAGGCCUACCAAGGCGCCGAUCCGUAACUGGUCUGAGAGGAUGAUCAGUCACACUGGAACUGAGACACGGUCCAGACUCCUACGGGAGGCAGCAGUGGGGAAUAUUGGACAAUGGGCGAAAGCCUGAUCCAGCCAUGCCGCGUGCGUGAAGAAGGUCUUCGGAUUGUAAAGCACUUUAAGUUGGGAGGAAGGGCAGUAAGUUAAUACCUUGCUGUUUUGACGUUACCAACAGAAUAAGCACCGGCUAACUUCGUG
rnacentral:rRNA from 1 species